rnacentral:rRNA from 1 species
GACGAACGCUGGCGGCGUGCUUGACACAUGCAAGUCGAGCGGUAAGGCCCUUUUGGGGGUACACGAGCGGCGAACGGGUGAGUAACACGUGGGUGACCUGCCCUCAGCUCUGGGAUAAGCCUGGGAAACUGGGUCUAAUACUGGAUAUGACCUUUCCUCGCAUGGGGUUGGGUGGAAAGUUUUUCGGCUGGGGAUGGGCCCGCGGCCUAUCAGCUUGUUGGUGGGGUGAUGGCCUACCAAGGCGACGACGGGUAGCCGGCCUGAGAGGGCGACCGGCCACACUGGGACUGAGACACGGCCCAGACUCCUACGGGAGGCAGCAGUGGGGAAUAUUGCGCAAUGGGCGGAAGCCUGACGCAGCGACGCCGCGUGGGGGAUGACGGCC